rnacentral:rRNA from 1 species
GAACGAUGACCCCCAGCUUGCUGGGGUGAUUAGUGGCGAACGGGUGAGUAACACGUGAGUAACCUGCCCCCGACUCUGGGAUAAGCCCGGGAAACUGGGUCUAAUACUGGAUAUGACCUUUGACCGCAUGGUCUUUGGUGGAAAGAUUUAUCGGUUGGGGAUGGACUCGCGGCCUAUCAGCUUGUUGGUGAGGUAAUGGCUCACCAAGGCGACGACGGGUAGCCGGCCUGAGAGGGUGACCGGCCACACUGGGACUGAGACACGGCCCAGACUCCUACGGGAGGCAGCAGUGGGGAAUAUUGCACAAUGGGCGAAAGCCUGAUGCAGCGACGCCGCGUGAGGGAUGACGGCCUUCGGGUUGUAAACCUCUUUCAGUAGGGAAGAAGCGAAAGUGACGGUACCUGCAGAAGAAGCGCCGGCUAACUACGUGCCAGCAGCCGCGGUAAUACGUAGGGCGCAAGCGUUAUCCGGAUUUAUUGGGCGUAAAGAGCUCGUAGGCGGUUUGUCGCGUCUGCCGUGAAAGUCCGAGGCUCAACCUCGGAUCUGCGGUGGGUACGGGCAGACUAGAGUGAUGUACGGGAGACUGGAAUUCCUGGGUG